CUGAACGUUAUUUCAGGCUCUUAAUAGCCAUCUGUGGAACCCUGAAUGACGUACAUAACGGAAAGAAAAAUCGUGAGCAAAACAACACUGCCCUUCUAUAAGAAUGCUGCUAUUAAAAGAGAGGACCCUGUUCUGCUGGGCUCCUUAGUGGGCUUGAAUGUGAAAAGGUGGGCCUACAGCUGAGUCUGAGGACAGGGGUUGAAGAACACUGACUUAAUUUACUCUCCAUAAUCUAUUUAGGGGAUUUUAGAAUUGGGGAUGGGGUAGGACUCUUGAAAGAAAAAUGUAGAAGAGAGAAGAAUUGGGAGGAGAACAAUAUAAGCCAUUGUGAUGACUCUUCGGGCUGGGGAAUUUCAUAUGUUGAACUGGCCUAUGACAAACCUGGGGGUGUGGAAUCCAAAGGAUUUUUUUUUUAAGAAUAAGGAUGCCUGAUGUUUAACUUGAAGGUUUGUAUUACUGUGAUAUAAGCCUUCUUUCCCAGAUAAUUCUCUGAAUAAGUCAGCUUUUCCUUAAAUAAUGCUGCAUAACAAACAGCCCCCCAAAUCUCAGUGGCUUACAAUAACAAAUAUUUUUUUGGUCACAAGUCUGUGGGUUGGCUGCAAUAUCUUUGCUCCAGGCUGUGGAUCAAAUUCAGGUCUGCUUCCUCUGGUUUCAUUUGGGAGCCCUGGCUGAAGCAGCAUUUAUCUGGGGUAUGCCCUUCUCAUGGUGGAGUGCAGGAGCACAAGCAGCCAAGCCUGACUGGGCAAGCACAUUUAAAGCCUCUGAAGCCUCUGCUCUGAUGUAGCUUACAUCUGCUCACAUUCCAUUGUGCAAACCAAGACACAUGGCCAAGGUCAGCAUCAAUUGAGAAUAGUAGUAUAUUCUUCAGAGAAGGGGAGGGAAAAACAAACAUUUGAAUAUUUGCUGAGCUCUAAUACAAUCUACAUUUUCCAACCUUCAAUAAAGCCUAUUUCAUGCAUGUGUGCACACACACA